rnacentral:lncRNA from 1 species
GUGGAACAGAGGCUCUUCCCAGGGCUCUUUCUGCCUCUGGAUGUUGGUGUUGAUGAUGUGAUGUCUGGAGCUGUUGCAACCACCUUGCUACCAGCUUGAGGCUGAAGCUUCAAGAACAGGAAGGUAAGGCUGAGAGAAUCCCAAGGAAGCAGAGCAUAUGCUGGGAGUUCUGUUCCUGAAGCCUGCCUCACCCAGGGGCUUCUUAUCAUGAGAGUAGAACAUUCCCUUUGCAUUCAAGACAUUUUUAAUUAGGGACUUAGUUUACAUGUGGCUGAAAGCUUCUCAGCAGGUCCCAAGGCCUCUGCAGUUUCUUCUGCAUGGUUUCUCCUUCCCUCACCUCUUCUUCAAGUCUCCUUCUACUUUUGUGGCUGGUGGAUUUGUCUCCUCCCUCACGUCCUCCUUUGCCCAUGCACUAUGCAAGAAUACUGGAGUCUGCCCAUGUGUGUGUGAGUGGCACAGACAGGAGGGGCGGGCCUGACGUCCCUCCCCGAUUAUUCUGUUGGCUCCCAGCUGCAGGCAACACAGAUGUAAAACUGUGACCAACAGGUGAGAUGACUUGAAGAGAUACUUUUUCCAGGACAAACUCCUGCACAUUCAAUGAGCUAAUCAAUAUAGCACAUCAUGAUACAUUUGCACAAUUUUGAAGCUCACUACACAACAGUGACAGUUUAAAAAUGCUGUGUUAGUGAGCAUUGUUAAUACAAAGAGUCUUUAAGAUCAUCAAUCUUAUGUCUAGAAAAUUUAGAAAGCACUAAAAUCUUAGAGUUCACAAAUGAGAGGAAACUGCAAGAGGCUUUUACGAAUUUGUCAACAAUCAGGAAAGGUUGCAGGAUAUUACCAAUAUGAGUUUUGAAGCAGAAAAAGGAUGUUAUGUACCAUUAAGUUCACAGAUCAUCAAACAGUUAGUGGAAAGACUGGUUUAUCUUUCUGCUAUAUUUAUAAAAGUUCUGGUACAAAUUCAAUGUCUUAUGAUGAGGCAAAUAGUGAUUCAUUAGCUGAAUAUGGAAACAUAGGCAGAAAAUAUUACAGAGUUGUGUCAACUAGUUAAUUAAACAAAAACAUUAUAUGAGACAGUAAAGAUCAUGUGGAUUAAGGGAGGGCAAAUCUGCCCUUUCAUCUGCAGGGUGGAUAGAUGGACUGAUGUGGUCAAAGCCAGUGGCAUCAUGAACGGGAAACAAUGUUUCUCUCAAGCUGCAGCUUUGAAAUGUCAAGCAGCUUCUUCCUUGGCUGACAACUGCUUUCUGACUCAAUGGAAGACCUUGUUCUCUAGCGUCAGGGCUGUCAGAAACUUUGCUUAUGAGUAAGAAGAACAUCCCACUGCCUGGAGGAUCUAGGUCCACCUUUACACAGAAGCACAGAGCUACAGAGAAGGGGUUUCUGGACAGAACGUUCCACAUUUGCCUGAACCUUAUGGGUUCUGAGGAGAUAGGAGGAGCUGAGGAGAUAGGAGGAGCUGAGUACAAUUUGCAGCCCAGACCUGACCCUGGCUCCUUUACACAGAAGCCUGCCAUGCUCUGAGUGCAUCAAUACACCUUCAAAAUCCCUUCCUCCAAUCCUGUGAUAACCUUUUUUCCUUUGUUUGUUGAAUCAUGUGAGGAUCCUUGUGUGACUUUAUUCCCUUAUUGCAACAACCCAAUACUGAGUGUGUUGGCUACAGUACUGACUUGGUGGCUGAUUAUUUUCUGGAUUUUGUGGGUGUCUGUUAUUUUCUGGAGUUUGUGGCUGUUUGCAGUAUAUCUCAGUGUUUUAAAAACCCCCAUAUUGUAUGAGCCUCAGGCCCUGCAGCACCUGGUCUGCCUGUGAUCAUGAAGAGAGUCCACCUGCCCAAGGAAAGACUGUGCCGUCUCAUGCUUCCCAGGCCUCCGAUGCACUCAUCCCUCCUUCCAGAGUGAUUUCUCUAUGCUGGGUGAGGGGUUUCCAACCUCUGCAGUUUCCAUCUUUUACCUCUGAUCUGGUGCAUGAUUUUUUCUAAAGGAACUCUUAGAAGACACUUAACAUGACCUGAUCAGGAACCUUCUUUAGCUUCUUCCAAGGACACAGCUCAGUGCCCAGAAGAUGGACCUGUUCACUCUCAGCUUCCCCGCAUCCUGCUCUGUUCCAAGGGAGCAGACACACAGGGAAAAGUCGGGGGAGUCCUGUGCAGAACCCCGACGUCACACCAUCUUCCCCAAGGAAGAUAGAAUUGUGUCAGAAAGGGACUGUUUUUCAAAAAAUCAGCUGUUCAUUGUGUGCCUGGAUGGUGGUCCCUUUGGUCAAUAAACCCUUCAUCCACAUGGAAAAUUAUGAGCACUUCCGUGCAAGAAAGACUUUGCCCCCAACCACAACAUCUGUGCACCUGCUGCUCUGCCCUCAGCCGCUCUCUCCCAGUAGAAGCCUGAAUCACUAAGUGCACCCUCCACUGAGAGGAUGAGGCCCAGAUUUGACUCCCCCGCUCAUGGCUGCCUGGGCGCUGCUACACUUCCCACAUCACAGACUCAGUUAAAUCCCAUGGGGGUGGAGAGGAAAUGGAAGCAGAUGCUGCUCACUCUCCCUGCCAGACCAUUCUCCUCCUGGCUUCCUAGGUGCAGCACGGUGGGUGCUGGCCUCAGGGCUGUUUCAGCAGCUUCCUCUUUGUCAUUUCCCUCUCAGUGUUCAUGGCAGCCACCCUUGGUCAAUGCAGC